AACAAUUGUUAUGAGGCUUAAAUGAAAAAAAUGUGAUCAUACUAGUAGGUAGUUUAACACUUAAUGUUCUUGGCAAAUAGAUGCUCUCAGAUAGCAUUAACCAUUGUUAUUUAUCAUUAUUAUUUAUUCAUUCAUUCUUUCAGAAACUAUUGACUAUAUAGCUUGUUGUAGCUGUUUCGGAUAUAGCAGCAAUCAAGAAUGACAAGGUUUCUGCUUUCAUUGAACUUGUAAUUAUAAUGAGAAAAUAACAAAUAAAUAUAAUUAUUGAGUAAACAACAUGUUAAAAAGUGGUAAGUGCUGCAGAAAAAAUUGAAGUAAAACAAGGGAAAAGGAAUUGAAGUGUCAGGUGGCAGCUGGUUGGAAAAUUAAAUACAGUGCUUUUCAUAGGACUCGUUGAUAAGAUGAGAUUUGAGUGAAGACUUGUAGGAGGAAAUAAGGUGGGAAGAACUUUCAGGAAGAGUUAAUAGGAAAAGAAAACCAUAAAGAACAAGCUGAUGUGGGCUUUUGAGUACAAUAGGCAGGCCAUUGUGACUGGACUGAAGAGACUGAGGGAUAUAGAAGAUGGAGAUAAGGUCAGGGAAAGGUUGAGGGUGGGCGUGGAGUCAGACCUUGGAGUUCCUUCCUAGCAAGGAUUUGGGCAAUUACUUUGAGUAAAUAAUGAGACACGCUAGAAUUUUGAAAAAAGAAAUGACACUUGGCUGUUUGGAUAAUUAUCUUUGCUAGAACAAUGAAUACUAUCUAUGGCCCAAUGUCUUGCCUUGUCAAUUAAUAUUUAUUGAGCACAUUUUCAGGCACUUUGAAUUGAAGAUAUAGACAGACAAAAAGUUUCUUUGUCUUUCUAUCCCAUGACUGUAUUUUGCACAAGGUCAAUAAGAGGCUUCAGUGUUUUUACAAUUACCAAGAGGAUGGGAUUUGUUAUUGUGUGCAGAUAAAAUGUGCUGAUGCCUCCAUUAUUUAUGGGAUGAGAUAAAAGUCAUGCAGCCUUCUGAGACAAAAGCAAUCUUGAAGAUCAGACAGAAAACCAGCCUAUGAAUCAAAGAAGAAAAUCAAAAUCAGACUUCAUAACUGCUUCAGUAACCCUUGGCAACAGACAACACACUGGAUUUUGGCGAAUAACACUAAAAUUUUUGCUGGUGAGGUCUUCAGAAACUGGAUAGAUGUGAAACCACCAGAACAGAAGUGGAGCGGGCAUGGUAUCUGUUUCUUCAAUUUGUAGUUUUAUAGUCAAAAACUGGCAUGUAUAUACUUAAUUGGUAACAUGUAAGUCACGUGCCUCUAUCCCAACUCUAAGAGAGGUUGAGAACUUAAUUUCUGGCUUCUACCUUGGGAAGGAUCAGGCUUAUAAGCUGGAAAAUUAGCCAACAUACACAGGAUAUUCAAAGCUUCUAGGCAGUCAAAAUACUGUCAAGUGGUAAAACAGACAUGAAAAAACCUUUUUUUCUCUCCUAAAUUUAAAAAAAUAUAAUUUUUGUAAAACACUGUAUGUGGCUUUCCAUAAAAUUAAAAGAGUCUUGGGAGAGAGAACAUCUCAUAUGCUUCCUAGUGAAUUACUUCCACACUAAAGCAAUUAAUGAAAAUGAAAAUACCGUGUAUAAUAUUUUUAAAGCAGCCUUUUCACUGAUAAAUAUGUUUUAGGUAUAUAUACAGCUAUGGAAAAGUUUUCCUCAUAACAAUUCCAUUUUAUCUCAGGUAUAAUCGGUCAGGAGAAAUUAUUUCUUGUUGCUAAAAAUGGAACAAAACGUUUGAGCUAAAGAAACACAUUUCUCAUUCAACACACACAUCCACAGAAGUUUCUUCUCAUGCCAAAGUGAGCAAAUCUACACUUGGGAUUGUACAAUUUUUAUGAAAGUAAUUAACAAAUAAAACAUUUAAAAGAAAAUUAAUUUUCUUACCUAUAAUUAAUAUCUAUCACCUUGGCACCUACUAACAAAAUUUUCUACUUAAUGGUGAUGUUUCAAACUAUGGUCCUGCUCUAUUUAUGAUAAUAUUUGGUCUGCCCUAUAUAGGCUUUAUAUUACAUUUAAAUUAUAUGUGUACAUUGCUUUUUUCAUAUUAAGACAUGUCUAUACAAAUAUUAGUAGCAAAUAUAUUAUUAAUUUUUAUUCCAAUUUAUGGUGGAGUCUUUGGCUUCUUCAAGUGGAUCACUACCCUAGCUGUCCAGAGCUCCACACCUAUUCUCCUGUGUUUUCCAGUGUCCGGCCAUACAGAGUUUAUCAGAGCCCAAGAAUAGACUUGUGGUAUAGAAUGGCGUUUCUGUUGCCAGUGAGAGGGUUCCUGAAUGCUGAUGAAGCAAAAUUUUCACCAGACCCCUUGAGUAAAAUUGAUAGUGUUAAAUCAAGUAUAGCCAAAAGCUGCCUCCUUACAUAUUUUAAGUUCAUCCUAAAGGUUUUUCCAUACAUCAUGUACUAUAACCUAAAUGGAGUUGUAAACAGACUAUAGUCUACUCUUGUGCCAAUCCCUGAGAAAACUUUGAUUGGCCAAUCAAAGGUGGCAAACUAUUCAAACCAUGUUCAAAUAAGGCAAACACUGAGCGUCACCAGUCCGGCUGCUUCUGUACCUCACUUCCAUUUUCCAUAUGUCACUUUCUUUUUUUUCCUGUCCAUAAAUCUUCUUCUACCAGGUGGCUGCACUGGAGUCUCUGAGCCCAUUGUGGCUCAGAGAGACUGCCUGAUUCACUCUUUGCUCAAUUAAACUCUUUUAAAUUUAAUUUGGCUACAGUUUUUCUUUUAACAACCUAUACCUUGGAAACAAGGGACAGGAGGUGCUUGUGCAGUGAAAACUGGGUGUUCUUCAGUAUGGCUUAGCACUCCCAUGGCAGUUGCACACUUAAAACGUUUCCUUUUUUCGCUCUGUCAGAUUUCCUACUCAGCUCUUUCAGGGUGCUAGACUUACUCCCUUCUUUAGGAACUGCCUUACCAAGCAGUAUCCACUUUUUUUUUCUUUUAGUAAGAAAAUACUUCCAGUUAUACUUGGGUACAUUGCUGCCCACUGAAGACUACAUUUUCCAGCCUCCCUUACAGUUAGAUGUGUCCAUGUGACCAAAUUUGGGCCAAUGGAAUGUGCAUAGGAGAUAGGUGUACAAUUCAAGCUCUUUCCUUCUUUUGUUAUUUCAAAAUAAACCUUGAUACCUAUCUAAAUGGCACACCAAAAUCAUCACUAAUUCCAAAAUUAAUUUUUAUUUAUUUGCGGGAAAGGAGAGCCCAAUCUUCAAAUCAUGUUAGAAAUUAAAAGGAAAUAUUUGUAGCUAUUCUUCUAGCAUAUCAAAGAAAGGAAAGUAAAAUGCCAGACAGUAGGUUUCCAUAUUCAAUUUUGCAAUCCAGUAAUUUUCUAAUACCUAUGAGUCCUGCAUACAUGAUUUGGAAAGCAUAUAUUACUUAAGAAAUUUAUAAAGUGCAGUAACCACUUUGGGAAGCUGAGGUGGGAAGAUUGCUUGAGGGUAGGAGUUUGAGACCAGCUUGGGCAACAAACUCCACCUCUACAAAAUAAUAAUUAUUAAUAAUAAUAAUUAGCCAGGUCUGGUGGCAGGUGUCUGUAGUUCCAGCUAUUUGGGAGACUGAGGCAGCAGGGCCCCUUGAGCCCUGGAGUUUGAGGCUGCAGUGAGCUAUGAUUGUGCCACUGCACUCCAGUCUGGAUGACAGACCAAGACUUUCUUUCAAAACACAAAAAAAGUAAAAUACAAUAACAUGUAUCUGCUAUCAUUCACUAAAAUAAUGUAUUUUCUUCCACAAAACACCUUUUUCUUCUUAUUUCCACAGCAUAUCAGAAAGAUUGAAUAAAUUUCCAAAAUAUUAGACAGAAAGGGAUUUAAUGGUGCAUUUGUUUUGAUUUUCUUAUUUCCAGGACAGGAGACUGAGAAACAGAUUCACUGGGCAGCUUACCCAAACUGAAAGGGCCAACCAGAGGCAGUGCUAGAAUUAAACCUAGCUUCGUUGCUUUUAAUAAUUAUGCCUUCUGCUUAUCCACAUGUUUAUUUUCUUGAACAGCAGGCUUGUAAUAUUUGACCUUCUGUAUAAAUACAACUGAAUGCUAUAGCGAUUGAUACUUUUCUGGAUUUUAUCAUAGCCAGUAAAUAAAUUAACAGACUUAGAAGGCUCCAGUUUAAAAAUCACCCAGCCAUUCAGCACUCUGGAUCAUGGGCCUUUCUCUUUAAAACUAUACUCUCUUUGAUAACAGCACAACACUCAUUCCCAAAGUCCAUUUUAAUUACUGUGAUCCUCAACAUUCAUAACCGUACUUCUUUCUCUUUUGCUUCUUUUUCAUUCUGUCAGCAGAAUAUGUAUUUGUUGGAAAAUCUUCUUUUCCUUUAUCUACACUACACACUGCAUGUUUCUCAUCCUUGUCACUUUCAUUUGUCUAUAGGAAAACUGAGUACAGUGUCUUUUAAUCUCCUUUUAAGAAACCUGUCAGUAAUGAUGGCACAAAGCCAUCCUGUGGGUCAUGUGUUUAUGGAUGCUUUUUGUUUUAUAGUUUAAGACUACUGACUGAUGUUUGAAUAUUCAGAGCACUGACCCUUACAUUCAGAGAAAUCUUAUCUGUAGGAAGCAGACCUAGGACGCAGCUUGUUUGCCUUUCACUCUCUAGCUUCAGCAACAGCAAACAUCAUUUUGCCAGUUUUGUUCCUUUCUUUUCACAGCAAUCAUUUUAUUUCUUUAUCCUAGACCAUUAGUUUUGCAGUACUCAUGAGCCUCUUUCAACUCCCUCGAGAGUGUCAUGGCAUCCUCUAAAGGUAACUUGUGGGGCAUGCAAAUCUCUCUGCCUUGACAUCUUUCACCCCUACAGGUAGGGUUUGAUGCUGUACCUUUGCACUACUUGGUGGCAUAUCUUUCUCCUCACCACCACCCUCCCACCCCCGGCACCCCACUGCUGGCUUCAACUCCAAAACUUAGAGCAUGGUUGGGUGUCCAUCACCUUCUCUUUUUGCAGGAACUAUAAAAUACAUAGAUAAGUGUAUAAUCUGUACAACUAAUGCCCAUUUCAUCACUGGCAUUUACAAAAAUGAAGAAAUGAAAAUGCUGUAAAUAAAAUUAAAAUCUCUUUGACUACUCCCUAAGUCUCAUCACUUACACUCCUGCCCAGAGGCAAUGUCUGUCAAGGGCUAAUUUAAUAUAAUUUCAUCCAAAUUUUCAUGUUUUUCAAACAUAUAUGCAUUUGUAUAAACAAUACAUAUUGUUUUUAUUGGUGAGGUUUCUAUUUACAGAAAUGAUUGCAUAGGGUAUUUAUUAUCUUGCAAUUUGCUAUUUUGCAGUUAUCAUUAUGUUUUUAAGAUGUAUCUGCUUACAAAUGUUAAUUGCUUUAUGAAUCAUUCCAUUGUGUGAUUAUACCUAAUUUUGUUUAGUCAUUUCCCUAUUGGUGUUCAUUCAUGCCAUUUCUAAUUUCUACUGUUACCCAAAUGAGCACAUUUACGUGUGUCUCCUUGUGAACUUGUGUUUUACUAGAGUAUACACCUAAAAGUAAGAUUAAUGGGUUACAGGAUCUGUGAAUUUUAGUUUUACAAGAUAUGCCAAAUAUCUUCCCAAACAGGACUUAUCAACCUUAAUUUUUAUGAGUAGUAUAUAAAAAUAUUUAUUUUCCAAAAUGCCCCCAAUAUUGAAUGUACAUAGACUUCUAAAAAUAAUAUCUGAAUUCAACAAUCUUAACUUGAAUCAUCCUUAUUAUUUCCUAUUAAGAAUAGAGAGGCCAGGAAUGGUGGCUGAUGCCUGUAAUCCCAGCACUUUGGGAGGACAGGACAGAUGGAUCACCUGAGGUCAGGAGUUAGAGACCAGCCUGGAUGACAUGGUGAAACCUCAUCUCUACUAAAAAUACAUAAAUUAGCUGGGCAUGGUGGCACGUGCCUGUAGUCCCAGCUACUUGGGAGGCUGAGGCAGGAGAAGUGCUCGAACCCAGGAGACAAAGUUGCAGUGAGCCAAGGUCGCACCACUGCACUCCAGCCUGGGUGACAGAGUGAGACUCUGUUCCCCAAAAAUAAAUGCAUAAAUAAAAAAUAAAGAAUAGAAGUAUUUCCAAUUACUUUGAAAGUACUGUAAAUAAACAAAUACACGAAGUGGUACACAUAACUUUAAUCUGUUAAACCCUGAAGUACAUCAAUUUUGCUUUAAAUGUAACAAAGCCUAAUUAAUUAAUUCAGUCCUCCAUUCUCGUUUAUUACAUUUCUUACAAGCUCUAGAUACUGUGCCAGGUUCUGGGGAUAAAAUAUUGCACAGUGGGACUGUUCCCUGGAGAAACUUACAAUGUAGUGGGAGAAACAGAUACCCAAACACCUAGUCACAAUAAAGUCAAAUAAGUGCUAUCAUAAAAGGAAGUUGCAGGUGAUAUACGAGAACAGGGGAGAAUGCCUAGGAUUCCUAAAGGGAAGAGAAGGUUGGACUUAGUCAGGUUAGGUGUGGGGUCAAGGGAAGUGAAUUUAUGAAAGGUUUGAGAAAGGAUUAUCCAUGCAGAAGAAUGACAUGUGCAGAGAACUGGAGGCUAAAGAGAUGAGCAGAUUCUCAAUUCUAUCAAAGAAUUCAGUAGCCUACUUGGGACAAGAGAAGAUAUAGUCUGGUGUUGGUACAUGAAGAGAUUUUAAUACCGUAUACUUAAAUAGUUCGGAUUUUGUUUGUUUGCUUCUAAGGAAGAUGAGGAACCAUCAAAAGACUUUAAAACAAGAUGGCGAUGACUACAUCAUCAAAACUGAGCAUUAUGAGUAAGACUCAGAAAAGCACAUAGGAGAAAUACUAGCAAGAGCAGAGAAGAGGCAGAUGGAUCAAUGAAGGAAAGAGACAAUGGUGACAAAAACUAGU
rnacentral:lncRNA from 10 species